AUCUGUGUUUGUUUGUGCCAGUGUGUGUAUCUGUGUGUCAGUGUGUACCUGGAUGUGUGUAUGUAUCUGACACACAUAUACACACACACUGGCACAUAGUGGCACACAGAUGCACACACUGACAUACAGACAAACACAC